CGUGUUUGUAUGCUAAAGGUAUUAAGUUAUAUAAUUUACAGCGGUUAUUUAUUACGGGAUAUUUCUAUAUUGUAAUUAUAGCAUCUUUGUACAUGCAUGCAUGAAUAUCAGAAUAUUCUAAAAUAUUAAUUAUGGGUAUGUUAAAAUCUUCUAUGGAGGCAAUUUCUUGAAUGUCUUUGAGGUUUAGAGUAGCAGAAUAAAAGUGUCCUGUUUUAGCAAAAUUAAUGGUAUUCGUGAUUGUUUCUAAUUCCUUGUAAACUUCUGUAAUAAUUAAUUCUUCAGUAAUUGACUUUGGGUCUAGUGUUUCUAGUAUUUUUUCAAAUUGACUGUUAAUCUUCCGUUGUUGAUUAUUGUUUUCUAUCAACUGAUUGAGUUCUGUCUUGAUCUCUAUAAGGCCGUCAUGGUCAGGAGUACCGGUGACAAACUUGAGAAUAGAACCUAACAAGUUUAAUGAGCGUUUGAGUCUACGAUUAGAAGGUAUAAGCUGUGUCUUAAGCGCCUCUAAUUUAUUAGUAAGAAUUAUUUCUUCUUUUUUUCCUGCAACGUAUUUGGAUUUCAUGAUAUUCUCGUAUGGACCUUCGAUAAUUGACAAGUUUGCUACGUGGUACAGAAAAGACAUAUUUUCAAAUAGGUAGACUGGAUCGGUCUCCGUUAAAACAUACUUCUUGAAUUUAAGAUCUGUGAUUAUAUCAGAAUGGGAUAUAACAAAUAAUAAAAAUAGAUUAAUUAAUACCGUCUCGGAUCGCAUUAUGUGGCUUGUUUGCGGAUGUUGUCCUUAUGAAUAAUUUUCCCUCUCGUUGUAAGGAUCGUGUCCCCGCGAUCUUCCUUAACUUUGUGCUGAUUAUAUCUUUUAGCAAUUUUAUUCCUGCGAUCUGUUUUGGAAUAUAUGAUAUCUUCUGGUUUAUAGGUGACUUUUCUUCGUCCUUUGUUGUGGUAUAGCAAUAGCUUCUCCUGAUUGUUCUGAAGGAUUUCUUUAAUCUCGGGAUACUUUUCGCGUUUAAAGAAAACUACUUCAGGUUUGAGUCCUGUAGACGAGUGAAUUGUAGAAUUAUAUUGUCGGAUGGCUUUAAAAAGUUCUUCACCUGGAGUCGUAUUAUUUUCACUAGCUAAACUCGUACUGAUUUCAAUCAACGUACUGUGCAACCGUUCUACUUGAGCGUUAGUUGUCGAGUGAUUUAAUGGUGUGGCAGUAUGUUGUAUAUGUAGCCGAGUAUAAACGGCCUUUGCCAUGUUCCCUGCAAGACGGAGGUAACAGAUUGCACAAACACAUAGAAAUAUUUUCAGCUGGUCACUAACACUCUUACAUUUUCUGGAAUUUUCAAUUAAAUGGGAGAAUACGUAAGUAAGAUAGAGAAAACCUGUCGACAUUCUAAAUAUAUUCCAAUGUUAACUUGCUAGAAUAGGAGAGACGAAUACCCAAUUUUUCAAGAAGAAGAAAACGAAAAGCGCAGUUUAUUUUGGAUUUUAAAAGAGAGAAAACGAAAAGGCUUAACAACGAGAAAAAGAAAUCAUUUGGACCAUUUGUAAAAUUCAAAUCUAUUGCGUACAGCAAACAAAUAAGGGAGUAAGUUUUAAAUUAUUAAAGUUAAAUAGUGCAUAUUUAUUAUUAUUAUUGACAGUGAAUUUUUGUGAAAUAUUUUGUUAUAUCUACAUAUACAUAUAUAUGUAUAUGUAAAUGUAAAUUUAAAAUCUAAAUUGAGACGAAUUGAGCGGUUACAAUUAUAAUUGUGUAGAAUUUAGAAUACCGCCCCAGGAUUUCGGGAAUAAAAUUGGUAUGGUCGGUUAGAGGAGGUUCAAUCAAUAAUGCAAUCCUUAGUUUAAUAUUAAAAAAAAAAUCACACGAAUUAAUGAAGUGCUAGUGAACAUAAAAAUGCGAAAUUUAAGUGUAAAAUUAAUUUUAAAUCGAAAAAUACGUUCUUCAAAUAGUGGUAAUUUUCAGCUUUAAACGCAAAUAUCUCGAAUAUUCCCGCGAUAUAACUAUAUAUAUUUUUGAACUGGAGAACCUCCUCUAUAACUGAAAAUGUUCAUUUGUUCUGUUAGUAUGCAGAAUAUCUAAAAUUGUUUAAAAUAAAACAACAUUAGUGAUUCAUAAUGAAUAAAAGUGGACAUAGUUCCGAUACACACAUACGCAUUUCUGCUCCGAAGUAGGAUUUUAAAAAUUAAAAUUAAACUUCUUCAAGUUUACUUCAAGCAAAUUAGGAGAGUCUUUUCAAAAAAAGAUAUUUACAUUUUAAGUUUUUUAAACUAUUUAUAUAGUCUUGUCCUUAGUGCUAAAAUACACAACUUCUUUACUUGGAUGUUGAU